UCGGGAAUUUUGGGCAAUGGGCGAAAGCCUGACCCAGCAACGCCGCGUGCAGGAAGAAGGCGUUAUGCGUUGUAAACUGCUUUUGCCAGGGGAUAAAAAGACCGUGCGCGGUUAAUUGAAGGUACCUGGUGAAUAAGCCACGGCUAACUACGUGCCAGCAGCCGCGGUAAUACGUAGGUGGCAAGCGUUGUCCGGAUUUAUUGGGUUUAAAGGGUGCGUAGGUGGCCCUGUAAGUCAGUGGUGAAAUAUCUCAGCUUAACUGAGAGGGUGCCAUUGAUACUGCAGGGCUUGAGUACAGAUGAGGUAGGCGGAAUUGACGGUGUAGCGGUGAAAUGCAUAGAUAUCGUCAAGAACACCGAUAGCGAAGGCAGCUUGCCAAGCUGUAACUGACACUGAGGCACGAAAGUGUGGGGAUCAAACAGGAUUAGAUACCCCAGUAGUCCCUGAGCGGGCUGGCAAGGCGCAU
rnacentral:rRNA from 1 species